CCCUUAGAUGUCCUGGGCCGCACGCGCGCUACACUGACAUGUUCAACAAGCCUCCUAGUUCGACAGGAUUUGGGAAAUCUUUGAACGCAUGUCGUGAUAGGGAUAGAUCAUUGCAAUUAUUGAUCUUGAACGAGGAAUUCCUAGUAAACGCGAGUCAUCAGCUCGCAUUGAUUACGUCCCUGCCCUUUGUACACACCGCCCGUCGCACCUACCGAUUGAAUGUUUCGGUGAAGAUUCCGGAUAGGACUUUUUUGAUUUAUUUCAAUUUUGCCUUAAAAGCUAUCUAAACCUCAACAUUUAGAGGAAGGUGAAGUCGUAACA
rnacentral:rRNA from 1 species